rnacentral:rRNA from 1 species
GGGGACUACCAGCGUAAGCUUAAAACCCAAAGGACUUGGCGGUGCCCUACACCUCCUAGAGGAGCCUGUUCUAUAAUCGAUGAUCCACGUUAUACCUCACCGUUUCUUGCCAAACCCGCCUAUAUACCGCCGUCUCCAACUUACCCUAUGAAGGAUUAACAGUAGGUUUAAAGAUCACUCAUCAGAACGUCAGGUCAAGGUGUAGCGAAUGAAACGGGAAGAAAUGGGCUACAUUUUCUACCUUAGAUCACACGGAUAAUCAAUAUGAAACCUGAUUAUGAAGGAGGAUUUAGCAGUAAAAAGAAACCAACAUGUUCUUUUUAAGUCGGACCUAGGGCGCGUACACACCGCCCGUCACCCUCUUCAACUCAUUUCACUAUAUUUCAUAAUAAAUUACUAGAGAUAAGAAGAGGCAAGUCGUAACAUGGUAAGUAUACCGGAAGGUGUACUUGGAAC